GCGGAGGGAUCAUUACACAACAAAAAUAUGAGGGUGUGGUUUGCUGGCAACAGCGUCCGCCCCAAGUAUUUUUCACCCAUGUCUUUUGCGCACUUUUUGUUUCCUGGGCGAGUUCGCUCGCCACCAGGACCCAACCAUAAACCUUUUUUUAUGCAGUUGCAAUCAGCGUCAGUAUAAUAAUUCAAUUUAUUAAAACUUUCAACAACGGAUCUCUUGGUUCUGGCAUCGAUGAAGAACGCAGCGAAAUGCGAUACGUAGUGUGAAUUGCAGAAUUCAGUGAAUCAUCGAAUCUUUGAACGCACAUUGCGCCCUUUGGUAUUCCAAAGGGCAUGCCUGUUCGAGCGUCAUUUGUACCCUCAAGCUUUGCUUGGUGUUGGGCGUCUUUUUGUCUCUCCCCUUGUUGGGGGAGACUCGCCUUAAAACGAUUGGCAGCCGACCUACUGGUUUUCGGAGCGCAGCACAAAUUUGCGCCUUCCAAUCCACGGGGCGGCAUCCAGCAAGCCUUUGUUUUCUAUAACAAAUCCACAUUUUGACCUCGGAUCAGGUAGGGAUACCCGCUGAACUUAAGCAUAUCAAUAA
rnacentral:rRNA from 1 species